GAAAUUACUUAUAAAUGGAGCUUCCCGUUAAUCUGGAGAAUAGCAGUGUAUUGAUAUAUCAGCCAAAACUCCUGUCAUGGAUACUCUGCCUGUACUCCUGAAGGUCCGGAAGGAGGAGAUUCAGAGACGGCAAGCUUCUUAUGAGUGGAAGGUGUACGUUGAGGGUGUCCCUCACUGUCUGGAUGCUGACUCCAUCAAUGACCUGGAGAACAACGACAAGUUUUCCUUCACCAGAGCAGUCCUCUUUCUUGAACGCUCGAGU